UUGCAGGAUCUAAUCUCUCCCAUGGCGGUCGGCGGCGCUCUGGCCGUGGAGGCCUGCUCCUCAUGCUCCUCCUCUGGAUCUAAUUCUUGAUUCUUGCGUCGGUCUGAACUGUGCGAUUUACGUUUCGUCAGAGGUCUGUUCUUGGGAUUCUAGUGCUG